GGAAUUUGAGGCUCAACUGAAAGUCUAACGCGCCGCGAGUGGUGAAGCUGAAGGAACUACUUUUCAGCGGCGCACGGAGACGGCAGCUACGUCGAAGUGAUAAGUGACGCAACAGACGUUGCAUAAAUUUCACCUCCGCCGGAGCGGCGCAUUCAGUGGCGAGUGGCUUUGUGGAUUGACGGUGUGCUGCUUUACGGCUGGAUCGCGGUGACUGGUGGUUGGUGGCCUCUUCGCAUUCGAUAACAGGUACUGGCCUGAAGAGUUUUGGACCUGGUAAGGAUGAGAAAGGGGGCUUGAGUGAGGUCACGGUGGCGGUUUAUAGGGCCGGUGGCACCUCGGAGGGGGUGGGGGAGGGGUCGUGACGCGGCACGGCCCUCUCCGGAAGAGAGGGGCCUCGUUUGUGGCGGGAGCGGGGGCGGCUGGCGCGCGCCGGCGAAGACUAACUGACGCUUAACCGAUGGAGAUUCGGUCGCAUUUGCUUCAGAGGGGGGAAGGUAGAAAAAAGGUAGUCUUGGUGAUUUUGGGGAACCUUUAGUUAACGAAUCUCAAUAUGGGAAAUUGUUUCCCUCUGUUUUGUGGGGGUUUGGGCCUUGGGUUUGAUUGGGGUUUUUUUGUAUCGCCAUAGUGAGGUGCGGGGACAUUAGUGGGGGGAGGGGCGCUUAACCCGGAGCUACGGGGAAGAAAAAUCGGGAGUCCUAGUUUCGAAAGCGGUUAGGCUUUUCUAGCGAUUUCAAAUUGAAAAAGCCACUAAUUGUAGCCUGUCUCUUAUUACACAUCUNGGGGCUCGGGAGGCUGAAGCAGAAGAGGUGGAAGUUUAAAGCCAGCCUCAAUAAGACUUGGUCUCAAAAAGGGUUGGAUGGGGCUGCCGUUCUGGCUAAGUGGUAGAGCACUUUACUAGCAUCUGCGAGGCACUGGUCUGGGUUCGGGCCUCAGCACCCACCGCAUAAAGCUAAAAUAAAAUGAAGGUAUUGUGUCCUCCGCCUACAACUAAAGCACCCUUAACCACUGACUGGUUCAGUCGCCAGUACCAACAAAAACCAUUGACUAUAAAUGGAGUUUGUAUUGCGUGACUAACUGUAGGCUAGUGAAGUUGGAGGUAGGUUCGUGAGAGACGUUAACGUUUUGUGCCCGCCCCCGCCCGUUUCUGUUCCUGCCCCUGCACUGGGGAACCAACCAAGCCGUGUUAGGCAAGUGUUCUAUCACAUUAAUGUGUUUUUAAGGCAUUUUGAAAAAAAAAAAAGAUUUGAAGAGUGGUUUGGGAUAUUAAAGUAGGAAAUCGAUCCUGAGAUGACACCAAUUGUUUCUGUUUUAAAUUCUAGGUCAAAAUGCAGAUCUUUGUGAAGACCCUGACUGGCAAGACCAUCACCCUGGAGGUGGAGCCCAGUGACACCAUUGAGAAUGUGAAGGCCAAGAUCCAGGAUAAAGAAGGCAUUCCCCCUGACCAGCAGAGGCUCAUCUUUGCAGGCAAGCAGUUGGAAGAUGGCCGUACUCUUUCUGAUUACAAUAUCCAGAAAGAGUCCACCCUGCACCUGGUCCUUCGUCUGAGGGGUGGCUGUUAAUUCUUAAGUCUGCAUUCAUGGUGCGCAGUUAUAGUAUUAUGCUGCACAUAGCCAUUUGCCCCAGUAUAAGUUUAGAAAUUACCAGUUUCAGUAAAAGCUGAACCUGUCCAAAAUGUUAAUAAAGUUUUGUUGCAUGGUAGCAUAUUUGGUGUUUGUUGUCUUUAAAUUUUGUAGUUAAUG
rnacentral:lncRNA from 1 species